rnacentral:rRNA from 1 species
UAGGGAAUCUUCGGCAAUGGACGAAAGUCUGACCGAGCAACGCCGCGUGAGUGAAGAAGGUUUUCGGAUCGUAAAACUCUGUUGUUAGAGAAGAACAAGGACGUUAGUAACUGAACGUCCCCUGACGGUAUCUAACCAGAAAGCCACGGCUAACUACGUGCCAGCAGCCGCGGUAAUACGUAGGUGGCAAGCGUUGUCCGGAAUUAUUGGGCGUAAAGCGAGCGCAGGCGGUUUCUUAAGUCUGAUGUGAAAGCCCCCGGCUCAACCGGGGAGGGUCAUUGGAAACUGGGAGACUUGAGUGCAGAAGAGGAGGGUGGAAUUCCAUGUGUAGCGGUGAAAUGCGUAGAUAUAUGGAGGAACACCAGUGGCGAAGGCGGCUCUCUGGUCUGUAACUGACGCUGAGGCUCGAAAGCGUGGGGAGCAAACAGG